GCGGCCGAGACCCUUUUCAGUCAGGCACUGGAGAAGGCGGCGGUCGCACGCACGUCCACCGCUCUCGUACCGUCCCCAAACUACGUGAGAUUAUAACCUUAGUAAACACAGCAUCAAUCAAAACAAAUUCGUAGAGCAAAGAUCAAGAGACCCAAGUGUCGGAGGGCUGUGUGCGAUGGACUUGAGCUCCGUGCGAUCAGCUCCCGACUUGUGAGUUCGAGUGAGCCCGGGAGUGCGACUGGAGCAAAGAAGUGCAAGGCAGACAGAGAGGGAGAGAGUGUGCUCGUGAGGAGGCUGGCCGUGGGAGGAGUCAGGAGCCGCGAGGGCGUGCGGGCUCGGAGGGCGGUUCCCUCAGGAUGCCCACCGCACUCAUCAUCUUCGACCACGUGUUUCUGCUGAUCCUGUUCCUGAUCGCGCUCUUCUUCGGCGUCGUGGCCAUGAGUCUCCGGGGGCGGCAGGGCCGGUCCGCGCACGCCGCCACUGGCAUGGUGUAAGCGCCCCUUCCACGCCCGCGGGUACACGAGUCCCCCCCUUCUCCCUCCGGCGACGCCCACGCUCGAGGGAGCUCACGCCUGUCUCCCCGCCACACUCUCCCUUACAGAGACACGAACAUUUCAGGAAACAGAAACAAUUUUGCAGUGAUUUGCAUACAUUGUGACUGUUUCACUCAGAUAAACAUUGUAGAUUGUUGGACUCGCGGGUGCCCGUUAGACACCCCUACAUGAAUCCCUGUAGAACGAACAGCCCAACCCGAGCGUAGAGAUCACGGAGAGAACAAAAUACACAUUGCUUACUUCCAGUGACGAGAGUGUUUUCGCGCCGCCGCACGUCGGACGCGUUACCCGAGAGGUUAACAGUAUCCGGUGAAAUCAGAUCCCGCGUCCCGACCGGUCGUCCGCGCCCGGCCUCCGCCGCCGGGACCGCAAGAGCGCACGCGGAACGACGAGCGAGGGACCCUUCGCCGAGCACCCUGGAGCCCCAGACGUCCGCGGCCAUGAACGCCCUGCUGGUGCUGGACGCGUGCUUCCUGGCGCUGCUUCUGGUGGUGGCGGUGGCUUGCUUCGUGUAUACUGUGGUGCCGCCCCUUCGCCAGGCGCCUCGCUUCACCCACCUCACCCACGUCAUCACCCAUGAGAUCCCACGCCCGCCCGACGCCGCAGCACCCGUCACCGAAGUCUAGGUCUUCCCGCUCACCGGAACGCUCCAGUCACGAUGCUUGGGGAACCGAAGCAUAUUGUCUCUCACACCCACGGCCCCGAGCCAACGCGCGGCAGCUCCUUCUGGCGCCCGCGCCACGCAGGGGGCCAACUCUCGGCUGGCGACGCCAGAUGUGACCGUGACUGACCUGUGGCGCUGGUCUGGCUGUCAGUUUGGGUGCGCGCGGACACAAACCUACACACAUUUUAAACCUCAGCCCACAUGAACACACACACACUCUCACGUACGCGCGCGCGAGUGUACAGGCAAUAUAAUAAAUGUUAUAUCCAAAUUUAGUGUUCCUAAAUUAUUAGAGGUGAAAAUAAUUUACCCGAAUCUGAAAAUCAACAAAUGUGUUUGGUAAUAUAAAUGCCAUGGAACUGGGAUAAUUAUAAAAAUGUCAAUUGAUGACCAGAUUUGUUUGCAAUACCAGAAAUUCCGACGCUAAUAACACGCUGUUGCAUUCACUUUGCAACACGCGGGACUUGCAUAGUCGCUCGAUCACAUCUGUAUUUAGAAAGCAGUUUCUGAUAUAUCUAAGACUUCACUUUCAGAUUCACAUUACAAUAGCAUGGACGCGUACACUGCAACAGUAAUAAAACCCAAAGCCAUGGCCAACCCCAGACGUCAGUGAAGGUCGCAGGUCAAAGGUCAAAAAUUACAAGUCACAGAUCACGUGACCUUCCAAAUCCUCCGUCACGUAGGGAAAGGAUGGUCAUUAUACUAAAACAAAAAAAAAUACAGAGAAAUAUUUAAUCCUAUUGAUUUGGAAGCGUAGAAUCCAUAUAUCCAACCACGAAUCUAUUUUUCCAAGGCAGGUAAAGUUUAUAUGAAGCAUUAUCUAAAGGGUGAGUGUUACCCGCCCUGUGCAAAGCUGCUUUUGUUUCGAUUAGGGUCAAGCUGUCAAACCUUCAUUUUUUUCUCUACAAUUGGCUCCUUCGUCUUAAGAAAAUGAUUGGGUGGGGGAUGAUUAUAAAUUAUACGCAAAUUAUACAGUAUUAAAAUUAUGAUGUGCAUUAUAUUUAUAAUAAAUAAAUAGUAUAAUUCCC